GGGCGGAGCUCGCGUUCCGAGCAUAAAAGAGAGCGUCGCCCGGCUCCUCUCCGGGGAGGAGUCGCGCUUCAUACAGGCUCCUGAGGCUUCCGCAGAAGAGAAGGCGAUCCGAGGUAAUGGCUGACUGAAAAGCUCCGUGUAUUCGGAGACUUCUAGAAGAUUCGGAAUGAGGCCUAGGUUGAUAUCAGAGACACCUGUGACCUUGGCAAUCUGCACGUGACCCCAGCUGAGCUCCAGAAAGGCUGUGCACCCCCAGAAGGGCCACCGCGGGGUGAAGGCUCUGCUGAGUCACAGGGCCAGACCCACCACAAUCUCGCUGACAGAAGCCAGGGGGCGGAGCGUGCUCUGAGCAGCUGGGAAGGGAGCUGUGCCUGACCAGUCUUGGGGGAGGAGCUGCUUUUCACCAGGCUGCAGCUGACAAGAAGCUUCAAGGACAAAUAUCAGACACUUGUGACCUGGGAAAUCGGCACGUGAUAUCAUCUGAGGUCCAGAAAGGCUGUGUACCCACAGAGGGGCCGCACGGGGCGAAGGCUCUGCUACCACAGUCCCCGGCAGAGGGAUUGUCCCAAACAACGUGUUCAAGUACCUUUUGGAAACUGAGGUGAAGAAGAACAGUGCCUACAAACUAAUUUUUGUUGUCAGAAAACAAAAGAGCAUUUGUUGAGAGUGUUGUUUUUGGUAGCACCUGCAUUAGCAGUGACAAGGUUAGCUAGCCACCCCAUCCACUGAUAAUAAGCAAUCA
rnacentral:lncRNA from 1 species